GAUGAACGCUAGCGGCAGGCCUAAUACAUGCAAGUCGAACGGUGUAGCAAUACACAGUGGCGCACGGGUGCGUAACACGUAUGCAACCUACCUUACAUUGGGGGAUAGCCUUUCGAAAGGGAGAUUAAUACCGCAUAAGACAGUAACUAGGCAUCUAGUAGCUGUUAAAGAUUUAUCGAUGUAAGCUGGGCAUGCGUCCAAUUAGUGUAGUUGGCGAGGUAAUGGCUCACCAAGACGAUGAUUGGUAGGGGAACUGAGAGGUCAAUCCCCCACACUGGCACUGAGAUACGGGCAAGACUCCUGCGGGAGGCAGCAGUAGGGAAUAUUGGGCAAUGGGCGCAAGCCUGACCCAGCCAUGCCGCGUGCAGGAAGAAGGCGUUAUGCGUUGUAAACUGCUUUUAUACAGGAAGAAACGACCCUUGCGAGGGGCAUUGACGGUACUGUAUGAAUAAGCACCGGCUAACUCCGUGCCAGCAGCCGCCGUAAAAC
rnacentral:rRNA from 1 species